ACACACACACACACACUCUAUCACUCAGCUCAACUCAACUACCUCAAAGCACUGAGACUGGACUUACACAUCAACCUGUAAAUGCUCUUUUUGCACAAUAUUUUUAUGUUUACUGUUCCUGCACUACCUACAUACCAAGUAUGUUUACGGUUUCCUUUGCACUACUUACCUAGUUAGAAUAGUUAGUUUUAGUUAAUUUAUGUUGUAAUUUAUGUUAGGUCAGUCUGUCCUGUCUCUAGUUAGCUAGUUUAGUGAUUUUCUGUUAAUUUAUGUUGUAAAUUUAUGUUGCAUGUAGCACCUUGGCCCUGGAGGAAUGCUGUUUCGCCUCACUGUGUACAAACUGUAUAUGGCUGAAGUGACAAUAAAGCCAACUUGACUUGACUUGACUUGACUUGACCAAGGUAACAAAUGAACUCGAUGGGUGUAGCAGCCCCUUUGAGGGAAACUAACAGCGCCUCCUGGAGCCAGACUCUGGAGACAAAUAUCUGUUAGUAACGCCUGAAGCCGCCGGGAUCAACCAGGCGCACCGGGGCUGCCGCCUUCAGGGACUGUGGUCAAGCGCUGUGUCGGCACUGUGACCCCGGCAUCGCUGACUGAUCGCUGUCGAAUAUCAAAGCUUUACCUGACAGGGACGGUGACUGCAUGUAAUGUUAGCAGAUGUAUGGCAUGUACACUGUGCUCCUGCAGCUUCAGCGACCCUGACAAGCUGCAGGCUGCUCGCAGACUCACCUGCCUGCACAGUUCUCCAAACACAGACUCCUCACUGAAAGAAAACCUUUAGCCCACGGUGACUCCGAGUCUGCCUCUGGACUUUCUGUUGGUCUGCAGUCGUCAUAAUAAUAAUAAUAAUAUUUCUCCAGCUGUCCUGAAACUGCUCCCAGUCAGAAGCCAGUAAAACACAACACUGUGAUUUCAGGAUUCUUUCCCACUAAAUGGGAUUAUUUAUUAUCCUGAUAAGAUUUCCUCAAACAUAACACCCGUCUGGAUUAGAGAUGAAGCCUGCCUGUUUCUUUUUGCUCCAGCUGUAUUUCCACAUCCCCUGGAUGUGACCUCAGGGAUAUUUGGGAUGUUUCCAUGGUGACCCCAUCAACCCAGUGGAGAGAGGCAGAUCAUGGAGUAACGAGUAUGAAAGUAAACAUCCGGAGUUCAAAAAACAUUCACAGGAUUUCAUCAGCAGAUAAACUGGAAUGAGCGAGGACACUGACGUCAGACCGAGGAGAACAUCCUCUCACAGUGUUUCAGAACCACACACACACACUCACACACACACACACGCAUACACACACACACACACACACACACUCACACACUCACACACACUUAUAUAUCUGUUACAGUCCCCAGUGUUAUUGUAAAUCUGUGACUUCAUGGUGGUUUAUGACUGAUGGUGUUUUGGGUUCUGCGUCGUAUCCUGGCGUUCUUCUUUGCUCUUCUUAGGUUUUCUUCCUGCGUUUAGUUCAGUCUUCAUGUUUAUUAUGUUGUUCCCAGGUCAGUCGUGUCUCUGUGCUCCAUGUUCCCUGUUUUACUUUGACGGUCCGUGUCUCAUGUCAGUGUUUCUAGUUUAGCUUCCCCCGGUCUCGUCAGCUUUGAUUACUCCCAGCUGUGUUUAACCCUGUGUUUCUCUGUCAGUGUCGCGUCGUACCUUCAUACCUGGCUGUGUUCUGUCUGCCUGUUACGCCUGGUUAUGAUUCCCAGUCUAGUUAGUUUCUGUUCCUUUUGCUGUCCAGCAAAUAAAGCUGAGUUUAGUUUUGCCGUCCUGAGUCCUGCUGCACACACACCAUGACAGUAUCGACAGAUGGAUACAGAAAGUAAGUCAUCCUAUGUGCAGAGCUGCAUCGUCAUAUUAAACAUGUCCAGAGUUUCCAGUGAGCGGCUGGUGAUGGUGGCAUGUGGGCCCAGCAUCAGAUAAAUGAGGGUUUAUCAUUUUCUGUUUGGACGAGGUUCACUGGCUGGACUUGUUGUUUUGGUUCAUACUCUGACAGAAGAGCUUAAAUAAAUCUUUCUGUCCACUUAAAGGUCAAAACAAAUUUGCAAUUCAAAGUUCAGCAGCGCAGUGCUAGAGCUGCUCCGAAACAGGAACACGAACAAGCCUGGAAGGCUUUCUGCCUCUAAGACGUCGUCACAACGUCGAGCUGAAAACACUGACGCAGAUUUUUUUGUGCCUGCAGCGAUUCACUGACAUGAUAUCUGAGCACAUUUCUUCUCCUGGUCCACGCCGAGGUUUCAUCGCCUGCUUGGCAACGGCCUCGUCACUGGGACCGGAGGAAGGAGCUCAGAGCGCGCUCCGAAUAAUGAGUCACUACAUUUUUUCCACAGGUCAUUAUAACCUCGUUAGCUAAGUCCCCUCCCAGCAAUCGGAGCGCCGGAGGUCAUUUUAGAAGUAAUUCCAUCACUGAGUAAAUAUUAGACUUCAUACAGAGAGAUGUGUGAGGGUGGGGCUCACCUGACAUUCACAGGUGAAGAGGAGCCGAGAGAAGAAAGAAGGGAGGAUGCUGAGGAUGAAGGUUGCUAAUUAGAGCAGAAAGGCUGUAAUUGCAGUUGCUCAUUAUGGUUUAGGAGAACACACACACACACACACACACACACACACCAUCAGCACGAAUUACCUUGCUGCAGUGAAACAUCAGUGUGUGCGUGUGUGUGGUUGGGUUUGUUCACACUGGGGUGACUGGACCAGUUUAUGGGGCUCGGUGCUGCUGAGAGGCUCUCUUCAUCCUGCUCCUCAUCAUCACACACUCACAGGCAUCAGGCUACCUGAGUGUGUGAUGCUGAGGAGCAGGUGGCCGUAUCACACUGUUCAUAAACACCUGUGGCUGCGCUAACCCCGACACACAGCAGGGGGCCGCCUGAGCAGCCUCAUUUAUCACUAUGAUUGUUGUUGUUGUCAUAAUUAGCACAUUGUAUUAGCCAAGCAAACCACCACCUGUGUGUUUGGACAGGAGGAGACCCUGAAGCCUGCAAUGCCACCCUGCGUGAUCUGAUUGGUUUAAAUGAUGAGUCUAAAGGGGUUAAAGGUCAACAGGAAGUUAGCUGUUUAGUGUCAUUGUUACUGUGUGAGGACCAAAGUGGAGGGCCUGCUGUCUGAGCUUCUGCAGGUGGAGUUCAGGUAUGUCAGAGGUGAUGCUGAUGGUUCACCAUCGAGCUGAGCUGUGACCGAGCUGAACAAACUGCAGGAGGCUGGCCCCUCAGUCUUCCUGCUCCUCCUCCUGCUCCUUCACUGAGACGGAGCAGAAGGAGCAGAAGGAGACAUGCAGAUGCUUCUUCUUCAUGUCACCGUUGUUUUCACCUCCAUGUUGCACACCUGAGCUGCAGAACAGAACACGGUGCUGCCUUUAAUGAGCCCAAAAUGUGCAGAAAUCCUCCUUUCAGAGCACAGCAGCUCCUGCCAGCAAAAACAGCUGGUGAAAUAUACGAAGGAAACCGAUGUAAAAUUCAAGGAUCAGACUCCGGCUGGGAUUUAAGUUAGGAUCAGCUGGUUGACUGGAAAACAGGAGCAGUAAUUCUACUCUGACACGUGGUGGAAUAUUCCUGCACUCACCGACCAGGACAGGUAAUAUUAACACACACGCACCUGAGGUCCUUUCUAAAGGAGCUGACAUAAAUCACACUGUAGCUCCUGCUUCCACGUGUAUAAAUCACAGCAUUGAUGAGCAGGUGACGUAGAAAUGUCCACAGAGGUGGUGCUGUUUGCUCCUGGUGGUCAGCUUUGUUUCGCCCUUGGUUCAUCAGUGAGACGGUGCCGUCGUCCCGGGGCUCGAGCCGAGGGUCCUGUGGGUCACUGUUGUUUGUGGGGACUUUGCAGUGUUUUUGAAUAAAGCUGUAACGUGUUUUGAUGUUGUCUGUUCCAGAUGUGGGCAGGUGUGGCACCACACAGCAGCCACAUCUGGACGGUGUAACGUGGACGUGCAGCUGCAGAUAUGGUCAUCACUUCCUGCCAUCUGAGGAUCUGCGUUUUUGUACCUGAACCUCACACGUUCUGCUCGGCGUCGCUGUGAUUACCUGCACCACGGACAGCGCUGUAACGCCUCGGUGCAGCUUCCCGCUGUGCGUGGACGCCCUGAGCAGCGAGCCGCUCGUUAGCCCAAACUUCAACAAGACUCUGAGUCCCAGUUUUGUCUUUAUGUGGACAUCGUUUAAUCCUGCAGACGAAUACUCCUGAAUAAGAGAGGAAGGAUUUUAGUGGCAAAGGUCUGAAUGGAGACGAGUCACAUGACCGAUCAGAGCGCUCAUCCCUCGACUUGUUACUGAUAAAACUUAAUCUGCGCGCCACAAAUGAUGCUAAUUAUCAAAAGUAUCUCCAACCUGCGACUUCAUUUUAUUCUGUUCAUUUAUUUGGUUGUCUUCUUUUUAUAUGUGGAUUCAUGUUUUGUUUUCAUUUUGUAUUUGUUAAUGUUUUUUUAUUUAAUCCAUGUUGAUGCCAGACGGACGUCUGUGCGGCUUCAGCUCAGGAACAGGAAGUUGUUUGUUCCACGGUUUUUCUGUUGCUCGUUGGUGAUUAUUAUUUCAAAGAGAGGCUCAUGCUUCGUCUCCUUGUUGCUGCAGAGGAUAAAGUCGUGCUGGCUCUCUCUGGUGGAUAAUUUUCAGCAGCAGCUUCAGUAAAAACUUUCACUCAGCAGGAAAAGAUCUGAGGACCAGAAAGCCUUCAGGAGUGACACCUCAGUGUGCCGUGGAGGAAGCACGAGAUGAGCUGCAAGGACGUGCUGCUCAGGGCUUUAGACGUCAGAGGUCAGGGCUUUGUGGAUGACAUCACCAUCAUCAGAUGUGGGAAAAAUCUGGAUGAUUAACCCAACAGGCUGAAAUAUCCUGUCUCAGAGUGACGCUGAAAAACUAGUUCAUGCAUUUAUUACUUCCAGGCUGGACUACUGUAAUUCUUUAUUAUCAGGAUGUCCUAAA